rnacentral:rRNA from 1 species
GACGAACGCUGGCGGCGUGCUUAACACAUGCAAGUCGAGCGGUAAGGCCCUUUCAGGGGUACACGAGCGGCGAACGGGUGAGUAACACGUGGGUGACCUGCCCUCAGCUCUGGGAUAAGCCUGGGAAACCGGGUCUAAUACUGGAUAUGACUCCAUGACGCAUGUUGUGGGGUGGAAAGCCUUGUGCGGCUGAGGAUGGGCCCGCGGCCUAUCAGCUUGUUGGUGGGGUGAUGGCCUACCAAGGCGACGACGGGUAGCCGGCCUGAGAGGGCGACCGGCCACACUGGGACUGAGACACGGCCCAGACUCCUACGGGAGGCAGCAGUGGGGAAUCUUGCGCAAUGGGCGAAAGCCUGACGCAGCGACGCCGCGUGAGGGAUGACGGCCUCGG